GACGAACGCUGGCGGCGUGCCUAACACAUGCAAGUCGAACGGUAAGGCCCUGCUUUUGUGGGGUGCUCGAGUGGCGAACGGGUGAGUAACACGUGAGUAACCUGCCCUUUACUUUGGGAUAACUUCAGGAAACUGGAGCUAAUACCGGAUGGGAGCUCCUGCUGCAUGGUGAGGGUUGGAAAGUUUCGGCGGUUGCGGAUGGACUUGCGGCUGAUCAGCAUGUUGGUGGGGUAGCGGCUUAGCACGGCUUUGACGGGUAGCCGGCCUGGGAGUGUGACCGGCCUCAUUGUGCCUGGGUUUGGGCCCAGACUCCCACUGGUGGAAGCAGUGGAGAAUUUUGCCCGAUGCGCGGAAUCAUUGUGAAGCUUCGUCGCGUGCGGGAUAACGGCCGUCAGGUUGGAAAGCGCUUUCGCCUGGGACGAUGCCUGAGUGACGGUAAUGGGUAAAGAAGCCCCGGCUAACUACGUG
rnacentral:rRNA from 1 species